GAUGAACGCUAGCUACAGGCUUAACACAUGCAAGUCGAGGGGUCUCAAGGGAGCUUGCUUCUGCGAGACGACCGGCGCACGGGUGAGUAACGCGUAUCCAACCUGCCCUUCAUAUUGGGAUAGCCUUCCGAAAGGGAGAUUAAUACCGAAUAACAUGAGAAGAUUGCAAGAACCUCUCAUGAAAGCUCCGGCGAUGAAGGAUGGGGAUGCGUUCCAUUAGGUAGUAGGCGGGGUAACGGCCCACCUAGCCUACGAUGGAUAGGGGUUCUGAGAGGAGGGUCCCCCUCACUGGAACUGAGACACGGUCCAGACUCCUACGGGAGGCAGCAGUGAGGAAUAUUGGUCAAUGGGCGCAAGCCUGAACCAGCCAAGUAGCGUGAAGGAUGACUGCCCUAUGGGUUGUAAACUUCUUUUAUACGGGAACAAACCUUGGUACGCGUACCAAAUUGCGUGUACCGUAUGAAUAAGCAUCGGCUAACUCCGUGCCAGCCGCCGCGGUAACAC
rnacentral:rRNA from 1 species